rnacentral:rRNA from 1 species
GACGAACCGUGCGAACGUUGUUUGGAUUCACUGGGCUUAAAGGGCGCGUAGGCGGGCGGUCAAGUCGGGGGUGAAAUCUUUCCGCUUAACGGGAAGCGUGCCUCCGAUACUGAUCGCCUCGAGGGAGGUAGGGGCAUGUGGAACUUCCGGUGGAGCGGUGAAAUGCGUAGAUAUCGGAAGGAACGCCGGUGGCGAAAGCGACGUGCUGGACCUCUUCUGACGCUGAGGCGCGAAAGCUAGGGGAGCAAACGGG